AAAGUUGAAAUAAAUUUUUUAUAUUCAGUUUCGGCCUGAAAUUUUAGUUAUUUUAAUAACUCUUCUUUA
rnacentral:tRNA from 1 species